UACGUAGGGUGCGAGCGUUUAAUCGGAAUUACUGGGCGUAAAGCGUGCGCAGGCGGUUUUGUAAGCCAGGUGUGAAAUCCCCGGGCUCAACCUGGGAAUGGCAUUUGGGACUGCAAGGCUGGAGUGCGGCAGAGGAGACUGGAAUUCCUGGUGUAGCAGUGAAAUGCGUAGAUAUCAGGAGGAAUACCGAUGGCGAAGGCAGGUCUCUGGGCUGACACUGACGCUCAUGCACGAAAGCGUGGGGAGCAAACAGG
rnacentral:rRNA from 1 species